rnacentral:rRNA from 1 species
UACGUAGGGUGCAAGCGUUAUCCGGAUUCACUGGGUUUAAAGGGUGCGUAGGCGGGCAGGUAAGUCCGUGGUGAAAUCUCUGAGCUUAACUCAGAAACUGCCAUGGAUACUAUUUGUCUUGAAUAUUGUGGAGGCAAGCGGAAUAUGUCAUGUAGCGGUGAAAUGCUUAGAUAUGACAUAGAACACCCAUUGCGAAGGCAGCUUGCUACACAAUGAUUGACGCUGAGGCACGAAAGCGUGGGGAGCAACAGG